rnacentral:rRNA from 1 species
GAUGAACGCUGACAGAAUGCUUAACACAUGCAAGUCUUUGGCGAAGCUGUGCUUGCACAGCCUAGCCAAGGCGGACGGGUGAGUAACGCGUAAGGAACUUGCCCUGCAGUCAGGGAUAACAGACGGAAACGACUGAUAAGACCUGGUAAAGUCAGGCGGACUCAUGUCCAGCCUGAUGAAAAGAGAUGCUGCAGGAGAGCCUUGCGUCCUAUUAGCUUGUUGGUGGGGUAACGGCCCACCAAGGCGAUGAUAGGUAGCCGGCCUGAGAGGGUGGACGGCCACAAGGGGACUGAGAUACGGCCCUUACUCCUACGGGAGGCAGCAGUGGGGAAUAUUGGACAAUGGGGGCAACCCUGAUCCAGCAAUUCUGUGUGCACGAUGAAGGUUUUCGGAUUGUAAAGUGCUUUCAGCAGGGAAGAAAAAAAUGACGGGACCUGCAGAAGAAGCGACGGCUAAAUACGU